UAGGGAAUAUUGCAAAUGGGCGCAAGCCUGAUGUAGCAACGCCGCGUGUGCGAUGAAGGUCUUCGGAUUGUGAAGCACUUUUUGGAGGGAUGAGGAAGGACAGUACCUCCAGAAUAAGCCUCGGCUAACUACGUGCCAGCAGCCGCGGUAACACGUAGGGGGCAAGCGUUAUUCGGAUUUACUGGGCGUAAAGCGCGUGCAGGCGGUUUGGAAAGUUGGAUGUGAAAGCUCCUGGCUCAACUGGGAGAGGUCGUUCGAAACUUCCAGACUUGAGAGUGGUAGAGGGAGGUGGAAUUCCGGGUGUAGUGGUGAAAUGCGUAGAUAUCCGGAGGAACACCAGUGGCGAAAGCGGCCUCCUGGACCACUUCUGACGCUCAGACGCGAAAGCUAGGGUAGCAAACGG
rnacentral:rRNA from 1 species